UUUGCGGUUCUAAAGUCCCUGAUGCUCAGGCUGCUUAUGAGUCAGCAAAUACAAUCGUUCCAACGUCAUUGGCUGGUGUGAACUUUACCCUUCACGCUG
rfam:Kiloniella sp. P1-1 contig28, whole genome shotgun sequence.